UGGGGAAUAUUGGACAAUGGGCGAAAGCCUGAUCCAGCAACGCCGCGUGAGGGAUGACUGCCUUCGGGUUGUAAAUCUCUUUCAGCGGGGACGAAGCGCAAGUGACGGUACCCGCAGAAGAAGCACCGGCGAACUACGUGCCAGCAGCCGCGGUAAUACGUAGGGUGCGAGCGUUGUCCGGAAUUAUUGGGCGUAAAGGGCUCGUAGGCGGUUUGUCACGUCGGGAGUGAAAACCCAGGGCUCAACCCUGGGCCUGCCUCCGAUACGGGCAGACUAGAGGUAUGCAGGGGAGAACGGAAUUCCUGGUGUAGCGGUGAAAUGCGCAGAUAUCAGGAGGAACACCGGUGGCGAAGGCGGUUCUCUGGGCAUUACCUGACGCUGAGGAGCGAAAGUGUGGGGAGCGAAC
rnacentral:rRNA from 1 species